UGACAGAAGGCUGAUCUCCAAAAUAUAUAAAGAACUCAAGAAACAGACAUCAAAUCACCAAACAAUUCAAAUAAAAAAUGGUGUACAGAUCUAAACAGAGACUCUCAACAGAAGAUUAUCAAAUGCUGAAACAUGUUUAAGGAAUUGCUCAUCAUCCUUAGUCAUCAGGAAAAUACAACUCAGAAUGACCCUGUGAUACCAUCUUACACCUGUCACAUGGCUAAGAUCAAAAACUCUGAUAACAGCCUAUGCUGGAGUGGAUUGGAGUAAGGCAACACUCCUCUGCUGCUGGUGAGAGUCCUGUUUCAUUUUCCAUAAUUGAAAGUUAUACUUACUUUACAACAACCUUAUGAAACUGGAAGGAAGUAACUGGGGCUCAGAGACACAGAGAUCAUACCUCUGAAGAGUUGAUGGAGCCAAUUAGAUGCCGAAAACAAACUUUAAACUUAAUUCCUGUGUGGAUUGAAGAUGCAACACCCACUGUAGUCUCAUGUGUUUGGACACUUGAUCUCCAACUGUUCGUGCUGCUAGGAAAAGUUUUGGAACCUUGGGAAGGCAGUGCUUCACUGGGGGUGCUGGGUCAUUGUAGGAAGGCCUUGAGGGCUUCUAGCUCUGCCCUACUUCCAGUUAACCCUAUGCUCCCUGGCAGCAGAUAAAAUGUGAUCAGCCAGGCUUCUAGUUCCUGCCCUCAUGCUCUCCCCACCGUGAUGAACUGAAGCUGUAAACCAAAAUCAACCCUUCCUUUCUUUAAUGGUUUUUGUUACACAAACAAGUAGCUAAUGCAGUCUCCUAAUUCCAAUUCUAGGUUAAGAUAUUCUGUGAAUCCAUCAUGAUAAUUUUAGUUCUGUUGUCUUCUCUAAUGCAGCCAUCAGGGACCAGUUUUAAAACAUUUAAAUGUUGAAGCCAGAAGAGAUUUGAAUCCCAUCAAUCCAUCCUCAUCCUACUACAAAGAAGAAAAACGAAGCCUUAUCUCAGAACCAACUGGCACAAGGCUACAAACCUUGCUAAACUUCAAGAUUGUUGAUUAUUGUUUCCCAAAUCAGUGCACAGAAAAAGAUAGCCAGGAGGUACAGCAAUUGUUAGGGAAAACCAUGGUUGAUGUGUGAAACAGAAAGUGACUCUGAAAAUGGGUUAUCCAGGCACUGUUGCUAAGAAACUCACGCUGUGUCUGUGUAUCCAUCAUGGAAAGGGAGGCUUCAGUGAUUCAUUGACUUCAGCCCAGUUAGCUAUAGUGUACAAGAACAUAGACUCUGAAACUUUUACAGAUCUACUUCCUUUGACAAGGUUUUAAACACCUCAUGGCUCUUUAUUUACAAAGAUGAAGAUUGGGCCUACUGCUGCCUCUUGCUUUCUGCUUCUUGGAGAAUGUUUGAGGAUCCAGUUUCUUCCUACAGAAAACCAUCUGCACUCCUGUAGAUAAACGGGAUCUCUAUGGGCCCACAUGCAAAUUUGCAAAGAUCUCAUGAAAGCAGAGAUGGGUCAAAAAUCUGAUAAGAGGAAUUUAUAGAAAUAUACAUUCACAAUAAACUAGGAUCUCUGUUUUCUGAAGGCUUUUGAAAAAUCACCCUCCAUAAAUGAAGUCAAUUUGUAUGGCUUUUUAAAUUAAGAAUUUGUCUACUUUGGAAAUCACACUUUUACAAAUAACAGGUAUUUGUAAAAUUGGGCAGGACCAGACUUGGAGCCUGGAGAGCAGGGUCCACUAUCACCCUCAUUUCCUAUCUGCAUGACUUUCAAAAGUUAGGCCAUGAAUGACCUUUCAAAGACUUGGUGUGCUUAUUGCAAAAUGGAGAUAAUAACAUUAACACCCAGAGUUUAAACUUCGAGAAGAACUAGCUCAGCCAUGAAACACAUUUGUUUCAUGACUUGAUUCCAACCUGUGUCUGAAAUUGGAGGAAUAAAUUUUGGGCAGGUCAGAUAGUAAGAAAAUGACCACAUUUCUGGGAAUCCUUUAAACUCUAGUAAUUAUAUAUGAUUACUUUGUAUGCAAAGCCUUAUACAUACAUAUGUAUAUGUAUAUAUAUGCACACAUAUUUUCCAUAUAUGCAUACAUAUUAUCUAUAUAUACACACCACUUCACUUAGUUCUCAUCACACUUUGGGAAUUUGCAUAUGUCAUAUCCAUUCCCAGAGGAAGAAGCCAAGCCUGGCAGAGAGCAAACAGCAUACAAGGUCACAAACUAAAAAACAGAACUAACUGAGAUAUAAAGGUGAUCCAGGAGCAUCUCAAGUUCCCUCGGGGAUGCACCAUGUGGUUCAGUCAUCUCAAAAGCAAAACCAUAAUAGGGGGAAGGGGCAUUCAGGGAACAUUCCAAAGGUACUGAAGUCCGUAUGCCAUGUCCUUAUAGUGAUUACAGCAAUGCCUUCUAAAGCCAAGUCUGUGGAGUCUAAAAAAAUACACAAAUGUAGAUAAACAACUCCCAAUCUCUUCCUUUUAUUUCAGUUAAGCCAAUAAAUAACUCCAAAUUGGCUAUGGGUGUCUCCAUGGACGAUAGCAUCAUUCACUUUUGUCUCUGGCCUCCAUUGAGGCCUUCAUGAAUCUUACUUUAAAUUGAGCUGCCCUUAUACCACACCCAUCUUUUGGUUCCAG
ensembl:lncRNA